rnacentral:lncRNA from 1 species
AGGUGGGCAGUGAUAAUUGGACUCUGGGAAGAAGAAGGCAUGAAACUGGGAAGAAGGCGGUGUGAUUGGAGGAAAAGUACAAAUGCAAAGGAAAUGAAUUGUACUUAAGAGGAUCUGAAUCUAAGAAGCUUCGCCUUCAGCAGAUGACACAAUUGCUCUUGCUCAUUGGGUGGAUGCAUACUACCAACCCUGAGGACUUCAGUUUAAUCCCCAGUAUUUACAUGAUUGAAGGACAGAGAUGACUAGUCCAAAUUAUCCUCUUUACAUCCUUAAAGA